rnacentral:rRNA from 1 species
GACGAACGCUGGCGGCGUGCUUAACACAUGCAAGUCGAACGGAAAGGCCCCUUUGGGGGUCCUCGAGUGGCGAACGGGUGCGUAACACGUGAGUAACCUGCCCUUGACUUCGGGAUAACUUCAGGGAACUGGGGCUAAUACCGGAUAGGAAUCCUUGCUGCAUGGUGGGGGUUGGAAAGCUUCGGCGGUUUUGGAUGGACCCGCGGCUUAUCAGCUUGUUGGUGGGGUAGUGGCUUACCAAGGCUUUGACGGGUAGCCGGCCUGAGAGGCCGACCGGCCACAUUGGGACUGAGAUACGGCCCAGACUCCUACGGGAGGCAGCAGUGGGGAAUAUUGCACAAUGGGCGGAAGCCUGAUGCAGCAACGCCGCGUGCGGGAUGACGGCCUUCGGGUUGUAAACCGCUUUCAGCAGGGGCGAAGCUUUUGUGUCGGUACCUGCAGAAGAAGCACCGGCUAACUACGUG